UGGGGAAUAUUGGACAAUGGGGGAAACCCUGAUCCAGCCAUGCCGCGUGCGUGAAGAAGGCCUUAGGGUUGUAAAGCGCUUUCGGCGGGGAAGAUGAUGACGGUACCCGCAGAAGAAGCCCCGGCUAACUCCGUGCCAGCAGCCGCGGUAAUACGGAGGGGGCUAGCGUUGUUCGGAAUUACUGGGCGUAAAGGGCGCGUAGGCGGGCGAUCAAGUCAGAGGUGAAAGGCCUGGGCUCAACCUGGGAAUUGCCUUUGAAACUGAUUGUCUAGAGUCCGGAAGAGGAUGGCGGAAUUCCCAGUGUAGAGGUGAAAUUCGUAGAUAUUGGGAAGAACACCAGUGGCGAAGGCGGCCAUCUGGUCCGGUACUGACGCUGAGGCGCGAAAGCGUGGGGAGCAAACAGGAUUAGAUACCCCUGUAGUCCCUGAGCGGGCUGGCAAGGCGCAU
rnacentral:rRNA from 1 species